GAGAACGAUGACUCUCAAGAUAAGAUUCGAGGCUGUAGCUUGAUUAUCACCAGGAAGCAGCAUGGCCAUUACCCUUUUUGUGUGAUCUGGACGACUCCUCCUGUCACAGGCAGCGUGGAGAUGUUCAUGAGGGAUGAUGUUCCCCAGCGGGCAGCCGUGAGAGGACUGGCAGAAGGGCACACCACACUCCAUGCACCGGGCAGCUUGUGUUCGCAAUCCUCGUCUCACUCCCUCAAAGUUGUAAAUCUCAUUCCAGUCCUUUUGCCUUUCAGCAGCAGGAUGAGGCUACUGCCCAGAACCCCAACACAAGCAUACCUGGUCUUGUCAAGGAUUUUCUCAAGCCGUUUCUUCUCCAUGGCGGCAUCAGUGACGGUCUCUUCAAUAUCCUGCACAGGAGAUGUUGGCUUCUCAACCUUGGGAGUCUCAGGUACAGGCUGGGCUGCAGCCUCCUUCUCAGCUAGUUGUUUCAAGGCUCGCUGGUACUCAUAUGGGAACACCUGAGCACAUAAAAAAGUUUAUGUUAAGUUCUCUUAAAACAAUACAUUCAUAUUUUGUAGUGUACAAGCUACUUAAGGCCAUUAAAAAUAAAUGCUGGCAAUAAUGACAUUCAUAAAGCAAUUUUAAUUUCACAAUAUUUAUGACUUAGAUCUUUGUAUGCAAAUGCUGAAAGGACUGCUGCUUGUGUUUUGUGUUAAGUUCAAGAAAAUUGGCAACAUGUCACAUUAUUUGAAGUAAGUAUCUGAUGUAGCUGUAUCUUAUAAAAUAUAUGGUAACUGAAAAGUUUAAACCUAA